rnacentral:rRNA from 1 species
UUAUCCGGUUGAUCCUGCCGGAGGUUACUGCUAUCGAGGUUCGACUAAGCCAUGCGAGUCGAAUGUAGCAAUACAUGGCGAACUGCUCAGUAACACGUGGACAACCUACCCUCAGGACAGGUAUAAACCCGGGAAACUGGGUAUAAUCCCUGAUAGUCCUCGAACGCUGGAAUGCAUCGAGGACGAAAGCUCCGGCGCCUGAGGAUGGGUCUGCGGCCUAUCAGGUAGUAGUAGGUGUAACGUACCUACUAGCCUACGACGGGUACGGGUUGUGAGAGCAAGAGCCCGGAGAUGGAUUCUGAGACACGAAUCCAGGCCCUACGGGGUGCAGCAGGCGCGAAAACUUUACAAUGCCGGCAACGGCGAUAAGGGGACCUCGAGUGCCAGGUUACAAAUCUGGCUGUCGUGAUGCCUAAAAAGCAUUGCAUAGCAAGGGCCGGGCAAGACCGGUGCCAGCCGCCGCGGUAACACCGGCGGCUCGAGUGGUAACCGUUAUUAUUGGGUCUAAAGGGUCUGUAGCCGGCCGGAUAGGUCUCUUGGGAAAUCCAGCAGCUCAACUGUUGGGCUUUCAGGAGAUACUGUUCGGCUCGAGGCCGGGAGAGGUGAGAGGUACUUCAGGGGUAGGGGUGAAAUCUUGUAAUCCUUGAAGGACCACCAGUGGCGAAGGCGUCUCACCAGAACGGACCUGACGGCAAGGGACGAAAGCUAGGGGCACGAACCGGAUUAGAUACCCGGGUAGUCCUAGCCGUAAACGAUACUCGCUAGGUGUCGGCCACGGUGCGACCGUUGUCGGUGCCGUAGGGAAGCCGUGAAGCGAGCCACCUGGGAAGUACGGCCGCAAGGCUGAAACUUAAAGGAAUUGGCGGGGCAGC